rnacentral:rRNA from 1 species
GACGAACGCUGGCGGCGUGCUUAACACAUGCAAGUCGAACGGAAAGGCCCUGCUUUUGUUGGGUGCUCGAGUGGCGAACGGGUGAGUAACACGUGAGUAACCUGCCCUUGACUUUGGGAUAACUUCAGGAAACUGGGGCUAAUACCGGAUAGGAGCUCCUGCUGCAUGGUGGGGGUUGGAAAGUUUCGGCGGUUGGGGAUGGACUCGCGGCUUAUCAUCUUUUUGGUGGGGUAGUGGCUUACCAAGGCUUUGACGGGUAGCCGGCCUGAGAGGGUGACCGGCGACAUUGGGACUGAGAGACGGACCAGAGUGCAACGGGAGGCAGCAGUGGGGAAUAUUGCACAAUGGGCGGAAGCGUGAUGAAGAAACGCCGCGUGCGGGAUGAAGGCCUUCGGGUUGAAAACCGCUUUGGCAUGUGACGAAGCGUGAGUGACGGUAAUGGGUAAAGAAGCACCGGCUAACUACGUG